GACCUUGUGGUGCAAUGGUAGCACGUCUGUCUCCAAAUCAGAAGGUUGUGUGUUCAAAUCAUGUCAGGGUCA